GCGGAAGUAGCUCAGUUGAUAGAGCAUUAGCCUUCCAAGCUAAGGGUCGCGGGUUUGAGCCCCGUCUUCCGCUCUA
rnacentral:tRNA from 6 species